rnacentral:lncRNA from 1 species
UUUGUAUUCACAGUACUUGGCUCAGUAAAUAUUUGCCGAAUGAGUAAAGCAGGUGGUAUGAUUUUUACGUUUUGAAGAAGCCGAGGUCCGGGGUGGCUAGGGAAGGGUAUCGGAAUUAGUGGGUGUCAUGAACGAAGUACCUACUGUGCGCCUGACCCAGGGUAAGUCCCUUCCACACGUUAUUUCAUCUAAUUCUCCUAACUGCCCGGCAAGGCCGGCACUGUUAGUUUCUGUUGGGAACGUUACUCUCCUUACCCAGUGGCACAUACCCUGCCUUAGUAUGGGUCUAUUUAACUCCAACGUCUUCUCGUUUACCACAAGGAGUUAAUGUAGUUUCAGCUAAAAACAAAGAAAGUGGCCAUUCUUGUCUUUUGUGGCUUCACUGUCCGUAAGUAGAUGUGAGAUUUCCAUUAGACUUUUUGAAUAUCCAACAUAACCAUCUUCCCUCCUGUCCUUCUGUGUCCAGAGUUUGUUCCUUUAGUGGCUUCACCGUCUCGCUGACUUCAAGAAUGAAGCUGCAAACCCUCACGGUGAGUGUUACAGCUCUUGAAGGUGGUGGACCGAAAGAGUGAGCAGCAGCAAGAUUUACUGUGAAGAGCGAAACAACAAAGCUUCCACAACCUAGAAAGAUGGGGAGACUGAAGCUUAGACUGAACACUUUUCCAAAGUUACUCAGCUGGUAAGAGGCAGGGCUGAGAUUUGGACUCUACCAUUCUUGUGACAGCACCCUGGCUCUUGGUGGCCGUUGGAUACUGCUCCUUCCCUGGGAAGAUUCAAGACCAGAGAAAGAAAGAGUCCAACCCAAGACAGUCCAAGGAAAGGUACCGAACUCAAGUCUCUUGCCUCCCACUUGAGGGCCCUCCAAAGGCCAUUUGCAUCAUCUUGAUGGUCUUGCAGGCACCCAUGCAGUUGCUGGCUCUUGGGCUUUAUCUGGUGGACACAUUUGAAAUGUCAAAUGCAGAAAAGAAACAGGAAAUUGUCAUCCAUCAGCAAACUCUCUUCUCCCUUGACCAACCUAGGGUAGCUGCCCUUGGCAACUCUCGGGUUACAAGAAGCUGGGCAGGAGAUUCCUGUGACAUUUCAGCAGAGUCACGAGUGGGUGGGAUGGGGAAGCUCCGAGCUGCAAAAUAGCUUGCAGUGCCUCGGAGAGGUGGCGCUGGCUAGCCUGGGACUUCCAACAUACAGCCUACAUUGAUGGCCUGAGACUUGUGGCAAAAAAGACUUUCAAAAUCUAAUUUGCUCACAUACAUGAACACCUGCCAGGAAGGAAUUUGAGGCCUUUGUUCUAAACAUGGAAAAGCUGAGUUCAUUUGCCCCAGAGGGGGCACCUGCAGGGAAAAGGAAAAAUGGUUUUAACCCUUUCCUUGAGUCAGAAAAUGAGGCCACCAGAUUCUCCUUUCAUCCUUCAAGUAUCAGAAAGGUCUGUGCUGUGAAUUCCACAGAUGAGAUUCAUUGCAAGAUGUGAGGGCAGAGGAAAUCCAUGGAAAUGAAAUCCACAUUCAAACUGGAUGCAUGCGUUCAGCAACUGGAAGCUGAGUUCAUAUUUCAUUGCCCAACUACCCUGACCACUUGGGAAUCGCAGGUUUGGAAGGACCCACAGCCAUUCUGUGGAAAUGGAUCUGCUUUCAGGACCGAAUCUCAGACUUCUUGGGGAAGGUUUCAGUGGCUGCCUUUGCUGUGCAGACCUGGAGAUGGGUCUGAUGAUCGGACACCUGAAUUAUCUGUGUGGCUGAGUUUCAAGAAGACCUGCUGGGGUGAAAUGAAAAUGGUGCCUACUAGAAGCCCCAGUGGCUUUGCUGGUGGAGGCUAGCUUGCUCAUGUCCUCAUACAGAAGCAGAGAUGCAAGCAAGUGAGAAGGUGGAAGGACUCAGGUCUUGGGCCUUACUCUGAGAACUAUAACACCAUUCCUUCUGCUGCAUUCUCUUGUCUAAAAUUUGCUCCUCCACUGGCUCUUCUUGUAGACACACGACUGCUACAGUAUCAAGGGUCUGAUGCAGACAUGACAAUGUCAAGAGGAAGAGGAGAGCCUCGCUCUUCCCAGGCUUUUGCUUUUAAGAGCAGAAAAACUUUCCCCAGAGUUCCACCAGCUCACUUCUCAUCUUACUUCUUUGGCCAGAACUGGCCCUUGUGCCCAUAUUGUCAGUCAAAUGCCGACAAAGGAAAGGGGCCACUAUGAGUGGUUUAGACUUGGAUUGGAUUUGUCCUUAUUGGAUUGUCCUUAAGUCCUUUGAAAAAGAAGUAUACAACAGAAUGAAAUCUUGACUCAGCUUUCAAGAAUAAAGAGGGUGAGAUGACUGAUGGAUGGCUAGCAAAAUCAGAUGUGGGCUCUGUCCUCAUGGAGCAUACAGUCAGAAGGGGAAGAUUUACCUAAUUACACUAACAAACUUAUAACUGUGGUCAGUGUUCUGAAGGAAAGGAAAUCCAGUUGUAUGGUAACGUAUAACAAAGAAACUGAACUAGGAUGGAGAUGGGGGUGGUAAGUGUAGUUGGGGAAGCCAGGGACAUGAUCUGUAAGAUGGCUGGCCUGGAUUCAAAUUCCACUCCACUUACUUGCUGUGUGAUUUUAGAUUAGUCGCUUCUCCUCUCUGAGCUCAACUUCAUCUAUAACAAUCUUUCCUAGGGUUGUUAAAGGAUUGAAUGAGCCACUCUAUGUAACCACUUGACACAUAUUAGGCACUUCAGUGGCUCCUUUUCCAGAUUAAAGAAGGAGAAAACGUGUAUGUUUGGAGUUAGCACAAGACAGGAUGAUUCCUCAUGUUUGUUUUGGAAAACAAGUCUUAAACUCACAGCCAUGACAGAGUCUGACAUCAUCAGACAUCAGGCGUGUUAAGAAUUGCACUCUUAAUUGAAAAUGUCCAGAGUUUGUGAUUAAUUGCAAUCCUUUUCAGAUCCUUUCCCUAAGAAUUUAAUUUUUCUCCCCACCCACCCGGAGGUCAGGCUUUUAAUGUAACAAGUACAAUCAAUCUUCCACUGAAGAUGGCCUCUCUCUAGUGCAAGCUGGAGCAGGACUCAUCUGGAUUAGAAGCCUAGACGGUUUGGAGUCACCUGGUGAGGUUUACGUGCACAGCUGGGGCCCAGCCUACCUAAUUAGGACCAGAGAGUGGUUGAGAAGGGGACCGGCGCGUAUUCUAGGCGCCCUCCUCCAGUGUCUGUUUCUAAUAAUGGCAGAAAGUAGCAGAGGCGGCGGGGUGAGCUUGGAGCGUGGUGACAUCAUCCCUCCAGCUGUUUUACACAUCUGUGACAUGGCUCAUUAGGACUCUCUUAACACCUCAUCCUUCCCUGCUCCACACAGCUCCAGUUGCAUGAGAAAAGGUGCUCUUGCAUGUGAGGGGCCCCAAGACUGGGGCUGACUUCAGGGUCAAAGAUUCGCUUGGGCACUCUACCAGUCAUCAGAAUUUUCACAGAGACACCCCCCCAACACACACACCCGCAGCAUGCGCUCCUUGAAAGUGCUAAUAGCUUCAAUAUGAGGCUGGCACUUCUGCAUGACUGUUGGUGUUCAGGGCCAGCCUAGUCUUGGGGAGUAGGCCAUCUGUAGCAGCUGCAGAAAUGUUUUUGCUUAUUUUGAGCAUUCUAAGUUUUUCCUAGCCAUGAAUAACAACAAUCGAAUAAAUCAUCCCACAGUGUGUAGGAUGGUCGUUUUUUUGUUUUUUUUUUUCAGCAAGAACAACAAAAAAUGACAUAUCAUGUACUAUGGAUAAUACACAUAAAAAAUUCCGCCAUAUUUAUAGGCAGCAGUUAACUAACUAUAUUUAGAUAUUUGAAACUGUCUUAAAUCAGAUGAAUGAUAAAAGCUUCCUGGAUUUCAGUGGAAAGCCUAAAUGACUAAACCAAAAAAAAAAAAAAAAGUUUUAUUACUAUGAAGUAUAGUGCAUAUUCUGAAAUAAAAGAUAUGUGAUAUUUAUAAAAUAAAAAGAGAAACUUUGUCAAUAGACAGCAUCAUUUAAUAAAGCAGGGUCCCAGAUUUACAGACCUUUGUUUGAGUUCUAAAAUUUACUAGGAAGGAGGGUGCAGGGGUGGAAGCCGUUCAUUGUAGCUCUUUAAAUUUCCUCACUUUUGAAUGGAGAUGAUAAAAUGCCCCUCACAGGGUUUUUGAGAGGACUAAAAAUAUAAGGUAUGGAAAGUGUUUAGCAUUGUGCCUAUCACAAAGUUAGUGCUUGAAUAUAUUAGCUAUUGUCAUUAAUACUAUUGCUAUUCUUAUUUCUUCUACAACUGUUAUUGUUGAAAUGCGAAGUCAAAAUGGUACAUUUUUAUCAACUAUUAAGUGCUAUCAUGUUUCAAUUAAUACAUAAUGUUAUUGAUUAGAAGAUGAUUAUAGUAUUGUCUCUAAGGAAGAAAAAAGGCUGCCUGUUAAACCAUGGUUUAACAAAUUCUGGAGUACGGGCGCAGUGGCUCAUGCCUGUAAGCCCAGAACUUUGGGAGGCCGAGGCUCACGAGGUCAGGAGUUGGAGACCAGCCUGACCAACGUGGUGAAACCCCAUCUCUACUAAAAAUGCAAAAAUUAGCCUGGCGUGGUGGCGCACGCCUGUAAUCCCAGGUACUCAGGAGGCUGAGGCAGGAGAAUUGCUUAAACCCAGUAGGCGGAGGUUGCAGUGAGCCGAGAUUGUGCCACUGCACUCCAGCCUGGGCGACAGCGACAGAGCAAGACUCCGUCCGCCCCCCCUCCCGCCCCCACCCUAAAAAAAGAAUCAAAUUCUGGAAAGCAUCAAUCAUCUCUCAGGCCUUUGAAAAUGAUCUAAUUUUGUAGAUCAAACCCUCUGUGCUUGCAGGUAGGCUCACGAAUGCAGAAAGUGCAUGCUGUGAGCCAUGCUGUACACCUCCUCAUUGUCCAUUUCUCUUCUGGUAUCUCUCAAGGUGUGUGGUCAGGUUAAGAGAUUGAGACUUAAGCCAGGCAGGUGUUACUUCCUCUCACCAUGACAAAACCUGGGACAAUGAGAAGAGGAUAGAUUCUUUCCUCCCGAGGGUGCUGAGGCAGGAUCAGAAUCUCUCCCUCGGGUCUGAAACAGAUCAUAUAGAAGGUUCAAAGCUGCAAGAACCAUUCUGAAACCAUAAGAAUCCUGAGAACGAAGCCCACCUCAUGCUAAUUGUGGAGACCAAGCUUAUUUGAGUUUACUUGAGCCCUUGGAUCCAGCCGUGCCUGAAGACUUUUUAAUAACAGGAAUAAAAAAUUCUAUUUUGGAUAAAGCACUUUGAGUUGGAUUUUCUAUUACUUGCAGCUUAAAAGCUGAAAUGGUCCUAUGUGAUAAGGGAAUGAGACGAUGAUUUUGAGCAUUUAAUCU